UUGGGAAAUCUUCUUACGUCGUGGCACGUUCGAAACCUGGUUCUGAUUGGACUUCUCUUCGUACAGAAAGAUUCCGACCUUCGCGUACACGCAUCAUUGCCCUCCGGUCGAAUGAUCGAGGAGGACCGUCGGAUGAGGAGGAACAUCGGGAGUGGAGCGAGAAUGAGAAGAGGAACGAAAGCGCGAAAGCACCAGGUGGAGCUGAGACGAGCAGAGGGCAGCUCCGAGAGAAGAAUGGCCGACCGCAAUGAAGAUUUUAACUGGAACGAACCUCGUUCCGAUCGAUCGCCAAACAAAUUGGAGACUCACGAGAACCAUGAAGAUCGCUGACAUGAGAAGAGACGUGAUCUACAAGCACGACGAUGUUGCUGAGAAUUCAUUUCGAGUUAAGGUCCUGAAGAUUUCGACGAAGUCUUAUUAAUAUGCAUCAUGAAGUUUUUGAUUCCUUCUUGAGGAUCGUGAAGAUUGUUCCUGUUAGCUUCUGUUGUUCUCUGACGGUAUAAUAAGACAGUGAAGAAUUCACAGCGAGUAAUGUAGAAAACAAUCACCUAUUACUUUGUCG
rnacentral:misc_RNA from 1 species